rnacentral:piRNA from 1 species
CCUGAAGAGACAAAGUAGACUAACGUAG